rnacentral:rRNA from 1 species
AUGAACGCUGGCGGUGUGCCUAAUACAUGCAAGUCGAACGCGUUGGCCCAAUUGAUUGAUGGUGCUUGCACCUGAUUGAUUUUGGUCGCCAACGAGUGGCGGACGGGUGAGUAACACGUAGGUAACCUGCCCAGAAGCGGGGGACAACAUUUGGAAACAGAUGCUAAUACCGCAUAACAGCGUUGUUCGCAUGAACAACACUUAAAAGAUGGCUUCUCGCUAUCACUUCUGGAUGGACCUGCGGUGCAUUAGCUUGUUGGUGGGGUAACGGCCUACCAAGGCGAUGAUGCAUAGCCGAGUUGAGAGACUGAUCGGCCACAAUGGGACUGAGACACGGCCCAUACUCCUACGGGAGGCAGCAGUAGGGAAUCUUCCACAAUGGGCGCAAGCCUGAUGGAGCAACACCGCGUGAGUGAAGAAGGGUUUCGGCUCGUAAAGCUCUGUUGUUAAAGAAGAACACGUAUGAGAGUAACUGUUCAUACGUUGACGGUAUUUAACCAGAAAGUCACGGCUAACUACGUGCCAGCAGCCGCGGUAAUACGUAGGUGGCAAGCGUUAUCCGGAUUUAUUGGGCGUAAAGAGAGUGCAGGCGGUUUUCUAAGUCUGAUGUGAAAGCCUUCGGCUUAACCGGAGAAGUGCAUCGGAAACUGGAUAACUUGAGUGCAGAAGAGGGUAGUGGAACUCCAUGUGUAGCGGUGGAAUGCGUAGAUAUAUGGAAGAACACCAGUGGCGAAGGCGGCUACCUGGUCUGCAACUGACGCUGAGACUCGAAAGCAUGGGUAGCGAACAGGAUUAGAUACCCUGGUAGUCCAUGCCGUAAACGAUGAGUGCUAGGUGUUGGAGGGUUUCCGCCCUUCAGUGCCGGAGCUAACGCAUUAAGCACUCCGCCUGGGGAGUACGACCGCAAGGUUGAAACUCAAAGGAAUUGACGGGGGCCCGCACAAGCGGUGGAGCAUGUGGUUUAAUUCGAAGCUACGCGAAGAACCUUACCAGGUCUUGACAUCUUGCGCCAACCCUAGAGAUAGGGCGUUUCCUUCGGGAACGCAAUGACAGGUGGUGCAUGGUCGUCGUCAGCUCGUGUCGUGAGAUGUUGGGUUAAGUCCCGCAACGAGCGCAACCCUUGUUACUAGUUGCCAGCAUUAAGUUGGGCACUCUAGUGAGACUGCCGGUGACAAACCGGAGGAAGGUGGGGACGACGUCAGAUCAUCAUGCCCCUUAUGACCUGGGCUACACACGUGCUACAAUGGACGGUACAACGAGUCGCGAAUUCGCGAGGGCAAGCAAAUCUCUUAAAACCGUUCUCAGUUCGGACUGCAGGCUGCAACUCGCCUGCACGAAGUCGGAAUCGCUAGUAAUCGCGGAUCAGCAUGCCGCGGUGAAUACGUUCCCGGGCCUUGUACACACCGCCCGUCACACCAUGAGAGUUUGUAACACCCAAAGUCGGUGGGGUAACCUUUUAGGAGCCAGCCGCCUAAGGUGGGACAGAUGAUUAGGGUG